UCGCUCAUCGUCUAAUGGCAGGACAUCGGGUUUUGGUCCCGAUAAUCCAGGUUCGAGUCCUGGUGAGCGAG
rnacentral:tRNA from 1 species